rnacentral:lncRNA from 1 species
UUUUGCUAAAUUCUCCCUCUUGCCCUUUCCCAAUUCUGGUCACCUCACCCUCCCACGCUGUGUUAAUAUUGAGAAUUAUCCAAGAGGAAAGGUGGAAAUGAGACAAGAAUGGCCUCAGAGCCACUCUGGCAGCUGAUUAGAUGGUGCCCACCCAGAUUAAGGGUGGGUCUGCCUUUCCCAGCCCGUUGACUCAAAUGUGAAUCUCCUUUGGCCUCACCCUCACAGACGUACCCAGGAUUGAUACUUUGUAUCCUUCUAUGCAAUCAAGUUGACACUCAGUAUUAACCAUCACACCUGCCCAG